rnacentral:rRNA from 1 species
CCUACGGGAGGCAGCAGUGGGGAAUAUUGGACAAUGGGCGAAAGCCUGAUCCAGCAAUGCCGCGUGAGUGAUGAAGGCCUUAGGGUUGUAAAGCUCUUUUACUAGGGAUGAUAAUGACAGUACCUAGAGAAUAAGCCCCGGCUAACUCCGUGCCAGCAGCCGCGGUAAUACGGAGGGGGCUAGCGUUGUUCGGAAUUACUGGGCGUAAAGAGUACGUAGGCGGUUAUUCAAGUCAGAGGUGAAAGCCUGGAGCUCAACUCCAGAACUGCCUUUGAAACUAGAUAGCUAGAAUCAUGGAGAGGUUAGUGGAAUUCCGAGUGUAGAGGUGAAAUUCGUAGAUAUUCGGAAGAACACCAGUGGCGAAGGCGACUAACUGGACAUGUAUUGACGCUGAGGUACGAAAGCGUGGGGAGCAAACAGGAUUAGAUACCCUGGUAGUCCACGCCGUAAACGAUGAUAACUAGCUGUUCGGGCUCUCAGAGCUUGAGUGGCGCAGCUAACGCAUUAAGUUAUCCGCCUGGGGAGUACGGUCGCAAGNUUAAAACUCAAAUGAAUUGACGG